UUUAGCAAUUUGCUCCAUUCUCUCAGCUUCUUUGUUCCACUCGCUCCAGCGAGGUUCUAUUGUUUCUUGUUUAGUGAUUUGAUCCUCGUACCUUGUAGCUUCACUAGGAUAGUCUUCUCCUUCCUUCUUUGAGAGUAGAUUUGCUCUACGGCGAGAUUGGCGUCUCCUACUUUGAAUCUUCUAGGGUGAAUUAUUGUUAGUGUAACUAUUGAAGUCACAACGUACCUUGCCAACGGGGAGGUGGAAGUGAACUUGUCCGGAUCUCAUGUAGAGGAUUGCAUUGGCAGUGUUGAGG
rnacentral:lncRNA from 1 species